GGUGAACGCUAGCUACAGGCUUAACACAUGCAAGUCGAGGGGUAACGAGAGGAAAGCUUGCUUUCCUUGUCGACGACCGGCGCACGGGUGAGUAACGCGUAUCCAACCUGCCCCCAACUAGGGAAUAACCUUGCGAAAGUAAGACUAAUACCCCAUAAUUUCCUCAGAUGCCAUCUGACGAGGAAUAAAGAUUUAUCGGUUGUGGAUGGGGAUGCGUCUGAUUAGCUUGUUGGCGGGGUAACGGCCCACCAAGGCAACGAUCAGUAGGGGUUCUGAGAGGAAGGUCCCCCACAUUGGAACUGAGACACGGUCCAAACUCCUACGGGAGGCAGCAGUGAGGAAUAUUGGUCAAUGGGCGGAAGCCUGAACCAGCCAAGUAGCGUGCAGGAUGACGGCCCUAUGGGUUGUAAACUGCUUUUAUACAGGAAUAAAGUUAGCCACGUGUGGUUAUUUGUAGGUACUGUAUGAAUAAGGACCGGCUAAUUCCGUGCCAGCCGCCGCUGUAA
rnacentral:rRNA from 1 species